ACAGGCUUAAAACUCAAAAGACUUGACAGUGUCCCACAUCAACCUAGAGGAGCCUGUCCUACAACCGAUAACCCACGAUCAACCUCACCCGCUUUUGCACUUCUCAGCCUAUAUACCUCCGUCGCCAGCCCGCCUGACAACAGCCAACAAAGCGAGUAAAAUAGUUUACCACUAAAACGACAGGUCAAGGUGUAGCUAAUAAACGGGGCAGAGAUGGGCUACAUUGUCUAACCUAGACAAUACCCACAGCACUAUGAAAAUAGCACAAAAGGUGGAUUUAGCAGUAAGUGUGGCAAGACAAGCCUCUCUGAAGCCUGCCCUGAGACGUGUACACACCGCCCGUCACCCUCCUCAAAUACCAAUGAAAAAUAACUAAACAAAGACUACUAAACAAGAUGAGGCAAGUCGUAACAUGGUAAGUGUACUGGAAAGUGCACUUGGCUUAUCUUGGCGGUAGCUUAAAUUCAAAGCGUUAGG
rnacentral:rRNA from 1 species